GAUGAAGAACGUAGCGAAAUGCGAUAAGUAGUGUGAAUUGCAGAACUCAGUGAAUCAUCGAAUCUUUGAACGCACAUUGCGCCUUCUAGUAUUCUGGGAGGCAUGCCUGUUUGAGCGUCAUUAAACCUCUCUCAAGUAUGAUUACUUGGAUGUGAAGGAAGAGUACCUUAAACUUAAGGAGUGUUCUCCUUCGAAAUUGAUUAGCAGAUGGUAAUGUUAUUAAAUCCCUGAUGUUGUAAGAAAUAACAGUGGUUUUGUAGACUAUUAUCUAGCUUUAAAUUAUAAUUUUUAUUAUGGUUGACCUCAAAUCAGGUAAGGAUACCCGCUGAACUUAAGCAUAUCAAUAGCGGAGGA
rnacentral:misc_RNA from 1 species